GACGAACGCUGGCGGCGUGCCUAAUACAUGCAAGUCGAACGCAGUGGGGACGGGUGAGUAACACGUGGGUAACCUCCCAUCAGAGGGGAUAACACUUGGAAACAGGUGCUAAACCGAUACUGAUGGAUGAACCCGCGGUGCAUUAGCUAGUUGGUGAGGUAACGGCGCACCAAGGCCACGAUGCAUAGCCGGCCUGAGAGGAUGAUCGGCCACACUGGGACGGAGACACGGCCCAGACUCCUACGUGAGGCAGCAGUAGGGAAUCUUGGGCAAUGGACGAAAGUCUGACAGAGCCAGGCCGCGUGUGUGAAGAAGGUCUUCGGAUCGUAAAGCUCUGUUGUUAGGGAAGCGGUAUCUAACCAGAAAGCAACGGCUAACUACGUGCCAGCAGCCGCGGUAAUAC
rnacentral:rRNA from 1 species